rnacentral:tRNA from 1 species
AGCCACCUUGGUAGCUCAGUCAGUAGAGGAUGAGACUCUUAAUCUCAGCGUUGUGGGUUCGAGCCCCAUGUUGGUCA